CCUACGGGAGGCAGCAGUAGGGAAUUUUCCGCAAUGGGCGAAAGCCUGACGGAGCAAUACCGCGUGAGGGAUGACUGCCUAUGGGUUGUAAACCUCUUUUUUCAGGGAGGAAUAAAUGACGUGUACCUGAAGAAUAAGCAUCGGCUAACUCCGUGCCAGCAGCCGCGGUAAGACGGAGGAUGCAAGUGUUAUCCGGAAUCACUGGGCGUAAAGCGUCUGUAGGUGGCUCGACAAGUCAACUGUUAAAUCUUGAAGCUCAACUUCAAAAUCGCAGUCGAAACUAUCGGACUAGAGUAUAGUAGAGGUAAAGGGAAUUUCCAGUGGAGCGGUGAAAUGCGUAGAGAUUGGAAAGAACACCGAUGGCGAAGGCACUUUACUGGGCUAUUACUGACACUCAGAGACGAAAGCUAGGGUAGCAAAUGGGAUUAGAUACCCCAGUAGUCCUAGCCGUAAACAAUGGAUACUAGGUGUUGAACAGAUCGACCUGUGCAGUACCAAAGCUAACGCGUUAAGUAUCCGCCUGGGAAGUAUGCAGCAAGUGUGAACUCAAAGGAUUGACCGG
rnacentral:rRNA from 1 species